AUUUUCGAUUCUUCAAUUUCCUCGUCUGAACUACAAAAUGCAUUGACUGGUUCUAUAGUUGUCACGUCCACCUUAAAAAGAAAAUAAAGCCGGCUUCUUGAUAAUCAAGUAAAAUUUGGUGUUGGUAUCAAACGGUUGAACAUGGAAAAGGAAAGGAAGGGCCUGUCAAGAACAAACACCUCCCAAGAGAGAACUGAGCCAGCUCCGCCAUUAGGACAGAUAAUUGAUAUUGUACCUGAGAGAACAGAUCGGAUGCAUAUGCGCUGGUAUGAUUUUUGCAAUGCCCCUCGUUAGAAAGUCCCAAA